CUGUGAAAGUACGGAUUUUCUCGUAGUCUUUGACAAUUCCCAUCCUUUUUAAUGCCAUCAAGCGACUGUAGGGGUUGGAGUCCGUCACCUCCGGGCUCAUGGUCUCGAUGCGGGCCCGCGCCGACGCCCGCCCGCCCCGGGCCAGCUCCAGCUCCCGCUCCAGCUCCCGCACGCGGCGCUCCAGCAGCUCCACCCGCCCUCCCUCCGCCAUGGCAGCGACACGUCUGCUCUCGGCCGCGGCUUCCGGGAACGCCACGGAACCGUCCGCCGCUCCCGCCGCCUCAGCGAGCGUUCCCAUCGCGGGCUGAGCGCCCGCCUCGCGGCAGCGAAUGAGCUCCGGCGGGGCUGAUAGCACGAAGCAGCCUCACCAGUCCCACGCGGCACCGUAAUCGUGCUCUGCGAUCCGCUUUCCUUCGAGAGGAGCCGGCCGGCACCGAGAGCCGAUGAAUAGAAGACCGCUUUCAGCGUUGGACCAAGCAACCUCCUGUUGCCGCAGCAACACCGGAAAGGGCGGCUCCAUAA
rnacentral:lncRNA from 1 species